rnacentral:rRNA from 1 species
UCGUAAACCUAAAUAGUCCUAAAACAAGACUAUUCGCCAGAGUACUAUCGGCAACAGCCCAAAACUCAAAGGACUUGGCGGUGCUUCAUAUCCUUCUAGAGGAGCCUGUUCUGUAAACGAUAAACCACGAUCAACCUCACCAACCCUUGCUACUUCAGUCUAUAUACCGCCAUCUUCAGCAAACCCUAAAAAGGAACGAAAGUAAGCAUAACUAUCACGCAUAAAAACGUUAGGUCAAGGUGUAACCCAUGGGUUGGGAAGAAAUGGGCUACAUUUUCUACAACAAGAACAUCCCCUUAAACUCACACGAAAGUUUUUAUGAAACCUAAAGACUAAAGGAGGAUUUAGCAGUAAAUUAAGAAUAGAAUGCUUAAUUGAAUAAGGCCA